UUGGAGGGCAAGUCUGGUGCCAGCAGCCGCGGUAAUUCCAGCUCCAAUAGCGUAUAUUAAAGUUGUUGCAGUUAAAAAGCUCGUAGUUGAAUUUCGGAAUCUGUCCAUCGGUCGGGCUUCAUUGUUCGUACUGGUGUGGUGGGUUCUUACCUUCUGAAUAACCAGCAUGCCAUUCACUUGGUGCGUUGGGGAAGCAGGACUAUUACCUUGAAAAAAUUAGAGUGCUCAAAGCAGGCCAGUGCCUGAAUACAUUAGCAUGGAAUAAUAAAAUAGGACGGCAUGGUUCUAUUUUGUUGGUUUCUAGGAUCACCGUAAUGAUUAAUAGGGAUAGUUGGGGGCAUUAGUAUUCAAUUGUCAGAGGUGAAAUUCUUGGAUUUAUUGAAGACUAACUUCUGCGAAAGCAUUUGCCAAGGAUGUUUUCAUUAAUCAAGAACGAAAGUUAGGGGAUCGAAGACGAUCAGAUACCGUCGUAGUCUUAACCAUAAACUAUGCCGACUAGGGAUCGGACGAUGUUAAUUUUUUAAUGACUCGUUCGGCGCCUUACGGGAAAC
rnacentral:rRNA from 1 species